CCCAGUGUGCGAGGGAGGCCGGGAGGGGUCCCUGGGCGGGGAGUUGCUGGGCAUCUGUUGUGUGUGUGCGUCUGUCUGUCUGUUCGGGUCUGUUUUAGGCUGUGUCUGCCUGUCUCUCUGUCUGGGUCUCUUUCAGGCUGCGUCGGUCUGUCUGGGUCUGUUUCAGGGCGUGUCUGUCUGUCUGUCUGGGUCUGUUUCAGGCUGUGUCUGUCUGUCUGUCUGUCUGGGUCUGUUUCAGGCUGUGUCUGUCUGUCUGUCCGGGUCUGUUUCAGGCUGUGUCUGUCUGUCUGUCUGGGUCUGUUUCAGGCUGUGUCUGUCUGUCCGGGUCUGUUUCAGGCUGUGUCUGUCUGUCUGUCUGUCUGGGUCUGUUUCAGUCUGUCUGUCCGGGUCUGUUUCAGGCUGUGUCUGGGUCUGUUUCAGGCUGUCUGUCUGUCUGGGUCUGUUUCAGGCUGUGUCUGUUUGUCUGGGUCUGUUUCAG
rnacentral:lncRNA from 1 species